rnacentral:rRNA from 1 species
AGUGAACGCUGGCGGUAGGCCUAACACAUGCAAGUCGAACGGCAGCACAGUAAAAGCUUGCUCUUACGGGUGGCGAGUGGCGGACGGGUGAGGAAUACAUCGGAAUCUACUUUUUCGUGGGGGAUAACGUAGGGAAACUUACGCUAAUACCGCAUACGACCUACGGGUGAAAGCAGGGGAUCUUCGGACCUUGCGCGAUUGAAUGAGCCGAUGUCGGAUUAGCUAGUUGGCGGGGUAAAGGCCCACCAAGGCGACGAUCCGUAGGUGGUCUGAGAGGAUGAACAGGCAAAAGGGAAACGGGAAAAGGGCCAGGAUCCCAAGGGAGGCAAGAGUGGGGAAAAUUGGAAAAAGGGGGGAAGGCUGAAGCAGCCAAUACGGGGGGAGGAAAAAAGCCUUCGGGUUGGAAAGGCCUUUUUGUGGGGAAAAAAGGAGAAAAGUUAAUAACCCCGCUGACUGAAGGGAACCGAAGAAAAAGAACCGGCUAACUCUGUG